rnacentral:rRNA from 1 species
UACGAAGGGGGCUAGCGUUGCUCGGAAUUACUGGGCGUAAAGCGCACGUAGGCGGACUCUUAAGUCGGUGGUGAAAUCCUGGAGCUCAACUCCAGAACUGCCUUCGAAACUGGGAGUCUUGAGUUCGGGAGAGGUGAGUGGAACUGCGAGUGUAGAGGUGAAAUUCGUAGAUAUUCGCAAGAACACCAGUGGCGAAGGCGGCUCACUGGCCCGAUACUGACGCUGAGGUGCGAAAGCGUGGGGAGCAAACAGG